rnacentral:tmRNA from 1 species
GGGGAUGUAUUGGCAUUCGACAUUGGUCAAUUGGAAUGCUAAGUCGCAAUCUGGGGGUCGCGCUGUCCCCCCACAUAUCCGUCCAGCGCAAAUUUAGAUGCUAAAUCAGUAUCAGAAUCAAGCUUGGCUUACCGUGCUCAGUAUGGACUUGCUCCAGCUAUGGCAUUUGCAUAAGCUAACUUGGUUUUCCUAGGUGCCUUUUGUGCGCCUUCGUCUUUACGGCUGAAGCCUGAUGAUCCGUAAAGGCGUCAUAUUAUUGGGCUAGACUCUUCUGUUACGGUUUUCAGUAGACUCGAAAUAUAAAGAACCGACCGGCCUUUGGCGCUUUUGUUCGUUUUUUAUGCCAAUCGACGUAACUAAAACAAACUAUGAUUGUAGAAGCUUAUCGUUUCGGCCAUUGCACCCGGGUUCGACUCCCGGCAUCUCCACCA